rnacentral:rRNA from 1 species
UAGGGAAUCUUCCACAAUGGACGAAAGUCUGAUGGAGCAACGCCGCGUGAGUGAAGAAGGUUUUCGGAUCGUAAAACUAUGUUGUAAGGGAAGAACACGUACGAGAGUAACUGCUCGUACCUUGACGGUACCUUAUUAGAAAGCCACGGCUAACUACGUGCCAGCAGCCGCUGUAAUACGUAGGGGGGUAGCGUUGUUCGGAAUUACUGGGCGUAAAGCGCACGUAGGCGGGUCGGUAAGGCCGGGGUG